GGUUCAGUGGUCUAAUGGUUAUGAUUUCUGUCUCACACACAUGAAGGGUCACAGAAGGUUCCCGGUUCGAUCCCGGGCUGAACCA